GGAGCGAAUNUCAAAAAGAUAGUCUCAGUUCGGACUGUGGGCUGCAACCCGCCCACACGAAGUCGGAGUUGCUAGUAAUCCCGAAUCAGCAUGUCGGGGUGAAUGCGUUCCCGGGUCUUGUACACACCGCCCGUCACGCCAUGGGAGUCGGAAGUGCCCAAAGUCGGUGACCUAACCGCAAGGAAGGAGCCGCCUAAGGUGGGAUUGAUGACUGGGGUGAAGUCGUAACAAGGUACC
rnacentral:rRNA from 1 species